CAAGGUGCCCAUGUCCUCCGUGGCUGUUGGCUGAGGACUACUUACCUACAGGCACAUGGAUCUCCUGCAUUACCUGCAUCACCUGCUCACUGAGGUGCACAGAGCUCCGAAUUCAAAGCUGUGAAGCAUGCUGUGUGUAUGUGCCAAGGACCAAGAUUCUCAGCACUGAUCACACAAGCUGACGUGUUACAUAUGUGGAUUGUCCCUCCCCAGAUGCAUGGAAUCAGAAGUGCUACAGGUUCAAGGCCGUCAUAUUUGUAUGUGUAGAACUGGGUAUCUUGCCAAGUUACCCAGAGAAACUAUGAGGAUGGAGAUUGUUGUGAUUUUCUGUGAACAUGAAUAAGGAAAGCU